rnacentral:rRNA from 1 species
AACGAACGCUGGCGGCAUGCCUAACACAUGCAAGUCGAACGAGACAAUCGGGCUUGGUGGCGAACGCGUGGGCAAACGGUGGGAACAUGCCCUUAGGUCUGGAAUAACUCCCCGAAUGGGGUCCGAAAACGGGAUAAUGUCUCCGGACCAAAGGUUUAUCGACAUUGGUUGGGCGUGCGUUGGAUUAGCUAGUUGGUAGGGUAAAAGCCUACCAAGGGGACGAUCCAUAGCUGGUCAGAGAGGCAGGUAAGCCACACUGGGAGUGGGACACGGCCCGGACUCCUACGGGAGGCAGGAGUGGGGGAUAUAGGACUGUGGGCGAAAGCCUGAUGGUGCUAGGACGGGUGAGUGAUGAAGGCCGUAGGGUUGUAAAGCUCUUUUACCCGGGAUGAUAAUGACAGUACCGGGAGAAUAAGCACCGGCUAACUCCGUG